AGGGUUUGAUUCUGGCUCAGGAUGAACGCUGGCGGCGUGCUUAACACAUGCAAGUCGAACGAAGCAUCUUCACGGAAUUCCUUCGGGAAGGAAGCGAUUAUGACUGAGUGGCGGACGGGUGAGUAACGCGUGGAUAACCUGCCUCACACAGGGGGAUAACAGUUAGAAAUGACUGCUAAUACCGCAUAAGCGCACAGCACCGCAUGGUGCAGUGUGAAAAGCUCCGGCGGUGUGAGAUGGAUCCGCGUCUGAUUAGGCAGUUGGCGGGGUAGAGGCCCACCAAACCGACGAUCAGUAGCCGGCCUGAGAGGGCGACCGGCCACAUUGGGACUGAGACACGGCCCAG
rnacentral:rRNA from 1 species